CCCUUUCUCUCGGCACUUCGGUUUCCAGCUACGGGGCAGACACAGCGGAGGAUCGGAAAAGCGGAGAACCCAGAUCUGAAGGAGCGACUCCAGCCAGAGGCUGAAGCCGGCGCACGAUGUGAGCUGCUACUUGUUACUGAGACUGAAGUACUUGAUCUGCAAAACUAUCAUCUCUCUCAAAAGUAUUCCAAACCUUAAUGCUUUAGAUGGCUUUACUAUUGAGUGCCUGUGCUGCUAAGUAGGAAAACAAAAUUAAGGAGGAGAUUCUGCACUACUGAGGAAAGACUGAAAGAACAGCAAAGAAUGGAGCACCUCGCACA